UGGGGAAUAUUGGACAAUGGGCGAAAGCCUGAUCCAGCCAUGCCGCGUGAGUGAAGAAGGCCUUAUGGUUGUAAAGUACGUUAAGAUGGGAGGAAGGGCAGUAAGCGAAUACCUUGCUGUUUUGACGUUACCGACAGAAUAAGCACCGGCUAACUCUGUGCCAGCAGCCGCGGUAAUACAGAGGGUGCAAGCGUUAAUCGGAAUUACUGGGCGUAAAGCGCGCGUAGGUGGUUCGUUAAGUUGAAUGUGAAAGCCCCGGGCUCAACCUGGGAACUGCAUCCAAAACUGGCGAGCUAGAGUAGGGCAGAGGGUGGUGGAAUUUCCUGUGUAGCGGUGAAAUGCGUAGAUAUAGGAAGGAACACCAGUGGCGAAGGCGACCACCUGGGCUCAUACUGACACUGAGGUGCGAAAGCGUGGGGAGCAAACAGG
rnacentral:rRNA from 1 species